rnacentral:tRNA from 1 species
GUCCUGGUAGCUCAACAGGAUAGAGCAACAGCCUUCUAAGCUAUGGGUUGGGGGUUCGAGUCCCCCAGGACUCCA